GGGAUUGCCUCAGUAACGGCGAGUGAAGCGGCAACAGCUCAAAUUUGAAAUCUGGCCCCUUCGGGGUCCGAGUUGUAAUUUGUAGAGAGUGUUUCGGGUGAGACCACGGUCUAAGUCCAUUGGAACAUGGCGUCAUAGAGGGUGAGAAUCCCGUAUGUGACUGUGGCUCGAACCCAUGUGAAGCCUCUUCGACGAGUCGAGUUGUUUGGGAAUGCAGCUCAAAAUGGGUGGUAAAUUUCAUCUAAAGCUAAAUAUUGGCUGGAGACCGAUAGCGCACAAGUAGAGUGAUCGAAAGAUGAAAAGCACUUUGGAAAGAGAGUCAAACAGUACGUGAAAUUGUUGAAAGGGAAGCGCUUGCAACCAGACCUGUCCGUAGGUGAUCAGCCGCUGUUCUCAGUGGUGCACUCGCUCUGCGAUCAGGCCAGUAUCGGUUUCGGCGGCCGGAUAAAGGCCUUGGGAAUGUAGCUUCCCUUCGGGGGAGUCUUAUAGCCCUCGGUGCAAUGCGGCCAGCCGGGACCGAGGACCGCGCUUCGGCUAGGAUGCUGGCGUAAUGGUUGUAA
rnacentral:rRNA from 1 species